GAGAGUUUGAUCCUGGCUCAGGAUGAACGCUAGCUACAGGCUUAACACAUGCAAGUCGAGGGGCAGCAUUUCAGUUUGCUUGCAAACUGGAGAUGGCGACCGGCGCACGGGUGAGUAACACGUAUCCAACCUGCCGAUAACUCGGGGAUAGCCUUUCGAAAGAAAGAUUAAUACCCGAUGGUAUAAUCAGACCGCAUGGUCUUGUUAUUAAAGAAUUUCGGUUAUCGAUGGGGAUGCGUUCCAUUAGGCAGUUGGUGAGGUAACGGCUCACCAAACCUUCGAUGGAUAGGGGUUCUGAGAGGAAGGUCCCCCACAUUGGAACUGAGACACGGUCCAAACUCCUACGGGAGGCAGCAGUGAGGAAUAUUGGUCAAUGGACGCGAGUCUGAACCAGCCAAGUAGCGUGAAGGAUGACUGCCCUAUGGGUUGUAAACUUCUUUUAUAUGGGAAUAAAGUUUUCCACGUGUGGAAUUUUGUAUGUACCAUAUGAAUAAGGAUCGGCUAACUCCGUGCCAGCAGCCGCGGUAAUACGGAGGAUCCGAGCGUUAUCCGGAUUUAUUGGGUUUAAAGGGAGCGUAGGUGGACAGUUAAGUCAGUUGUGAAAGUUUGCGGCUCAACCGUAAAAUUGCAGUUGAUACUGGCUGUCUUGAGUACAGUAGAGGUGGGCGGAAUUCGUGGUGUAGCGGUGAAAUGCUUAGAUAUCACGAAGAACUCCGAUUGCGAAGGCAGCUCACUGGACUGCAACUGACACUGAUGCUCGAAAGUGUGGGUAUCAAACAGGAUUAGAUACCCUGGUAGUCCACACAGUAAACGAUGAAUACUCGCUGUUUGCGAUAUACAGUAAGCGGCCAAGCGAAAGCAUUAAGUAUUCCACCUGGGGAGUACGCCGGCAACGGUGAAACUCAAAGGAAUUGACGGGGGCCCGCACAAGCGGAGGAACAUGUGGUUUAAUUCGAUGAUACGCGAGGAACCUUACCCGGGCUUAAAUUGCAUUUGAAUAUAUUGGAAACAGUAUAGCCGUAAGGCAAAUGUGAAGGUGCUGCAUGGUUGUCGUCAGCUCGUGCCGUGAGGUGUCGGCUUAAGUGCCAUAACGAGCGCAACCCUUAUCUUUAGUUACUAACAGGUCAUGCUGAGGACUCUAGAGAGACUGCCGUCGUAAGAUGUGAGGAAGGUGGGGAUGACGUCAAAUCAGCACGGCCCUUACGUCCGGGGCUACACACGUGUUACAAUGGGGGGUACAGAAGGCAGCUACCUGGUGACAGGAUGCUAAUCCCAAAAGCCUCUCUCAGUUCGGAUCGAAGUCUGCAACCCGACUUCGUGAAGCUGGAUUCGCUAGUAAUCGCGCAUCAGCCAUGGCGCGGUGAAUACGUUCCCGGGCCUUGUACACACCGCCCGUCAAGCCAUGAAAGCCGGGGGUACCUGAAGUACGUAACCGCAAGGAGCGUCCUAGGGUAAAACUGGUAAUUGGGGCUAAGUCGUAACAAGGUAGCCG
rnacentral:rRNA from 1 species